rnacentral:lncRNA from 1 species
AAUGAUAACAACUUCAUUAAUGAUGACGAAGAAUAUUAUACAUUGGUGGAUUAUGAUGAUGAAGAUAUUGAUAAUCUUCCUGAUGAAGAUACAGACAUUAAAUAAUAAUAUGUAAUAUUUUUUAAAACAUUAUAUAUCUUUUAUUUCAUAAAUUAUUUAGCAUUGAUAUAAUUUUUAUCUAUAUUAUAUUAUCUCUAAUAUAUUGUUUGAUACAGGCAUGGCACCAGA